rnacentral:tRNA from 1 species
GGACUGGUUAGCUCAGUAGUUUGAGCACAAUGCUGACAACAAUGACAACACUGAGGCUGCAGGUUUGAUUCCUGCUCGAUUCC